rnacentral:rRNA from 1 species
UACGUAGGGUGCGAGCGUUGCCCGGAUUUAUUGGGCGUAAAGGGCGCGUAGGCGGUGCCGUACGUCCGUUGUGAAAUCGCUCGGCUCAACUGGGCGGGGUCAGCGGAUACGGCAGAGCUUGAGCAAGCUAGGGGGCAAUGGAAUUCCCGGUGUAGUGGUGGAAUGCGUAGAUAUCUGGAGGAACACCGGUGGCGAAGGCGACAUCCUGGACCGGUAUUGACGCUGAGGCGCGAAAGCCAGGGGAGCAAAGCGGG